rnacentral:rRNA from 1 species
GACAGAGGGUGCGAACGUUGCUCGGAAUCACUGGGCGUAAAGCGCGUGUAGGCGGGUGAUCAAGUCGGGCGUGAAAUCCCUCGGCUCAACCGGGGAACUGCGUCUGAUACUGGAUGGCUUGAAUUCGGGAGAGGGAUGCGGAAUUCCAGGUGUAGCGGUGAAAUGCGUAGAUAUCUGGAGGAACACCGGUGGCGAAGGCGGCAUCCUGGACCGAGAUUGACGCUGAUGCGCGAAAGCCAGGGGAGCAAACGGG